GCAUGAAGCUGGAAUUGCUAGUAAUCGCGGAUCAGCAAGCCGCGGUGAAUACGUUCCCGGGCCUUGUACACACCGCCCGUCACACCAUGAGAGUCGGGAACACCCGAAGUCCGUAGUCUAACCGCAAGGGGGGCGCGGCCGAAGGUGGGUCCGGUAAUUGGGGUGAAGUCGUAACAAGGUAAC
rnacentral:rRNA from 1 species